rnacentral:rRNA from 1 species
AUUGAACGCUGGCGGCAUGCCUUACACAUGCAAGUCGAACGGCAGCACGGGUGCUUGCACCUGGUGGCGAGUGGCGAACGGGUGAGUAAUACAUCGGAACAUGUCCUGUAGUGGGGGAUAGCCCGGCGAAAGCCGGAUUAAUACCGCAUACGAUCUACGGAUGAAAGCGGGGGACCUUCGGGCCUCGCGCUAUAGGGUUGGCCGAUGGCUGAUUAGCUAGUUGGUGGGGUAAAGGCCUACCAAGGCGACGAUCAGUAGCUGGUCUGAGAGGACGACCAGCCACACUGGGACUGAGACACGGCCCAGACUCCUACGGGAGGCAGCAGUGGGGAAUUUUGGACAAUGGGCGAAAGCCUGAUCCAGCAAUGCCGCGUGUGUGAAGAAGGCCUUCGGGUUGUAAAGCACUUUUGUCCGGAAAGAAAUCCUUGGUUCUAAUAUAGCCGGGGGAUGACGGUACCGGAAGAAUAAGCACCGGCUAACUACGUGCCAGCAGCCGCGGUAAUACGUAGGGUGCGAGCGUUAAUCGGAAUUACUGGGCGUAAAGCGUGCGCAGGCGGUUUGCUAAGACCGAUGUGAAAUCCCCGGGCUCAACCUGGGAACUGCAUUGGUGACUGGCAGGCUAGAGUAUGGCAGAGGGGGGUAGAAUUCCACGUGUAGCAGUGAAAUGCGUAGAGAUGUGGAGGAAUACCGAUGGCGAAGGC